rnacentral:rRNA from 1 species
GAGUAACGCGUAGGUAAUCUACCCUAAUAUUUGGGAUAACAUUGGGAAACUGGUGCUAAUACCAGAUACCCUUCUUUUCUGUCGGGUUAAGGAGGAAAGGUGGCCUCUUCAUGAAGGCUACCGUAUAAGGAUGAGCCUGCGUACCAUUAGCUAGUAGGUGGGGUAAUGGCCCACCUAGGCAACGAUGGUUAGCGGGUCUGAGAGAAUGAUCCGCCACACUGGAACUGGAACACGGACCAG